rnacentral:rRNA from 1 species
GUGAGGAAUAUUGGUCAAUGGGCGCAAGCCUGAACCAGCCAUGCCGCGUGCAGGAAGACGGUCCUAUGGAUUGUAAACUGCUUUUAUUUGGGAAUAAACUCCGGUACGUGUACCGGCCUGAAGGUACCAAAUGAAUAAGCACCGGCUAACUCCGUGCCAGCAGCCGCGGUAAUACGGAGGGUGCAAGCGUUAUCCGGAAUCACUGGGUUUAAAGGGUCCGCAGGCGGUCUUAUAAGUCAGUGGUGAAAGCCUACAGCUCAACUGUAGAACUGCCAGUGAUACUGUAGGACUUGAAUUCGAUCGAAGUGGGCGGAAUGUGACAUGUAGCGGUGAAAUGCUUAGAUAUGUCACAGAACACCGAUAGCGAAGGCAGCUCACUAGGUCUGGAUUGACGCUCAGGGACGAAAGCGUGGGGAGCAAACAGGAUUAGAUACCCCUGUAGUCC